CCUGUAACUUGGAGUUUUGUAGCUGUUACCCUGCAAUGAUGGCGGCUGCUUAAACUGUUAAGGCAAAGCUUUCCAUGUGUACCUGAAUCCUCCCAUGCCUCCCCACAGCUCCAAGUGCACAAGCUGCAUGGGGCAAUCUGUUUUCGGAUGGAAGCUGCUGGAAUGAAAAGGAAAUGCUAUCCAUCCUUUUGGCUAAAUAAACUCAACCCAGGAAGUACAGCUGGUGGCGGUCUGAGGCCAUGACCUUCCUCAGGGACAACUCACCCUAAUUUAUGGCCAAGUGAACUGGAAAAUAGCAACAGUGUUUAUGGUGCUAAGGGAAGAGGCUAGAUCUGGGAACAAGAGUGAGAAGUUGUAUGUACUUGGUUGGGAAACUAGAGGAAAGGAU